AGUGGUUGAUUUUGGUGGGAUUUGUUAGUUAGUGGGGAGUUGGGGUUUUUAUUUUGGAUUAUUUUGUUUUAAUUUCAAUUUUAUUUUUUUUCUUUUUCACAAAAAUCCCCUUUCUUUCUGACAUUUCUUCCUAUUUUCUUUUCUCUAAUUUUUUUUUUGUUUUUCCUUCAAUUUCGUACACAAAUCUUUCGUUCUAAUAUUUGCAUUUUAGAUUUCUGAUUUUUCUCGUUCGGUUGGUAAGUGGAGUUUCACUUAAC
rnacentral:lncRNA from 1 species